ensembl:snRNA U6 U6 spliceosomal RNA
UUACUUUGGCAGCACAUGUACUAAAACUGGAACAAUACUGACAAAAUUAACAUGGCUUCUGUGCAAGGGUGACACACACAUUCAGAAAGCAUUCCAUAUUUUC